GUCCAGGGGCGGGAAUCGAACCCACAACCUUCCGCUUACCGGGCAGAUGCCAUGUCCACUAAGCUACCCUGGA